rnacentral:rRNA from 1 species
GGGAACCUCACCCGGCCCGGACACCGCGAGGAUUGACAGACUGAGAGCUCUUUCUCGAUUCGGUGGGUGGUGGUGCAUGGCCGUUCUUAGUUGGUGGAGCGAUCUGUCUGGUUAAUUCCGAUAACGAACGAGACCCCAACCUGCUAACUAGUUUGUAUUCUCACAGAGUGCAAUACUUCUUAGAGGGACUAUAUGUGUCAAGCAUAUGGAAGUUUGAGGCAAUAA